AUUUCAGCACCCCAGGCUAGUCUGGGAGGCUGGCGCAAACGCAGCGGGUGGCUGGGGUAGGGGCUCAUUGGGAGCCCACGGAGCGCGGCGGCGGCUCGGGGGCCGAGUUCCCUACAACAAGGAUGGCGGUGACGGGCGCAGGGAGCGGGGCCCGGCUCUCCUUGCCUCGAGGCUCCUCUGAUUCCACUCGCGUGGCUGCGCGGCCCUGGCAGCGGCCUUCGUCCCGGGGGUGGGAGCUACACAGGGUUCCGCCCCGUCCUGGCGAGGACGCCUGAGGGGGCUCUGUGGUAAGGCUCUGUCGGGCAGGCCGGGCUUCCGGGAGGACCUGGUCUGGAUCGGUCACCGCUGGGUGCCUGAGCUCCGCAUGGAGCCUGCAGCCUUUGUUUAACUUAUAAAGAAAUGGGGGCUCCGAGCAGUCAAGAAGAACAUGCCCCAAGUUAUUCGUCAGUGAGGCGGAAAUUGUGGUGUACUUGUUCCAGACCAACUAUGAAGAUAGGAUGCCCAUCCAGAAGAACGGGAAGCAUUUUCUUCCUCACCUUUGGAAAGUAAAACAAAAAAAAAAAGAAAAA
rnacentral:lncRNA from 1 species